GCGGGUGUAGUUCAAUGGUAGAACACCAGCCUUCCAAGCUGGUCGUGAGGGUUCGAUUCCCUUCACCCGCU
rnacentral:tRNA from 1 species